ensembl:snoRNA
UGGAUCAAUGAUGACCGUUGGUGGAGUAUGAGUCAUAGAUGGUGACUAAUCUGUGGAAUCUGAGGUCCAC